UUGAGCAAUGAUGAACCUACAGACCUGUAAUGAUUUGCGGUGAUGAUCGCAAAUUUUUAUGAACAUCUAAGGGACUGAGUUCUC